AGUGAACGCUGGCGGUAGGCCUAACACAUGCAAGUCGAACGGCAGCACAGUAAGAGCUUGCUCUUACGGGUGGCGAGUGGCGGACGGGUGAGGAAUACAUCGGAAUCUACUUUUUCGUGGGGGAUAACGUAGGGAAACUUACGCUAAUACCGCAUACGACCUACGGGUGAAAGCAGGGGAUCUUCGGACCUUGCGCGAUUGAAUGAGCCGAUGUCGGAUUAGCUAGUUGGCGGGGUAAAGGCCCACCAAGGCGACGAUCCGUAGCUGGUCUGAGAGGAUGAUCAGCCACACGGGAACUGAGACACGGUCCAGACUCCUACGGGAGGCAGCAGUGGGGAAUAUUGGACAAUGGGCGCAAGCCUGAUCCAGCCAGACCGCGUGGGUGAAGAAGGCCUUCGGGUUGUAGAGCCCUUUUGUUGGGAAAGAAAAGCAGCAGGUUAAUACCCCGCUGUUCUGACGGUACCCAAAGAAUAAGCACCGGCUAACUUCGUG
rnacentral:rRNA from 1 species